UUUAUUUUAAGUUUUUGUAUCAGCUCAGAUUGAACGCUGAGCGGCGAUCCUAACCACAUGCAAGUCGAACGACAGCGCGAACUUGGUUCUGGAGUCGAGGGGCGGACCGGUGGAGUAAUCUAUCGGAUCGUCCUCAGUAUCGGGGAAUACGUACGCGAAAGAGUGGUUAUUCCGCCUUACUCCUUACGGGGAAAAGCGGGGAUUCUCAAGACUUGGCAUUUUUGGAGCGCCUGAUUUGGGUUAAGUUAGUGGGGGGGUUAACGCUUCACCAAGCCAAGGUUCGUUAGUUGUUUGGAGAGAUGGUCCAUCCCCACUGAACUGGAGCCACGUCCCAGCUUCUUCCGGAAGCAAGCAUUGGGAAUUUUUGGCCAUGGGGGAAAACCUGAAUCCACCCUUCCGGCGUGUGGGAGGAAGUCUUUGGGGUGGUAAACCACUUUAGGCAGGAAGAAAAGGUUUCGGGUUAAUACCCCGCGAUACGGACGGUACAACCAGAAUAACCACGGGUAAAUUACGUCCCACCAGCCGCGGUAAUAGAAGGGGGCCAAGCUUUAUUGGAAAUUAUGGGGCGUAAAGCGUGGGCGGGCGUUUCGGAAAGAAAGAUGAAAAUCCCGGGCUCAACCUUGGAAAUGCCUUUUUAAACUACCAGGUUGGAUUGGGUCAGAGGGAGGGGGAAUUCCGGGGGUAGCAGUGAAAGGGGUAGAUAUGGGGAGGAACCCCGAGGGGGAAGGCAGCCCCCUGGGAUAACAUUGCCGUUAGGUCAGGAAAGGUUGGGGAGCAACCAGGAUUAGAUACCCUGGUAGUCCACCCCUUAAGACGAGAUGUCAAUUAGCUGUUGGGGUCCUUUGGGACCUUGGUAGCGCAGCUUACGCGUGAAGUUGACCGCCUGGGGACGACGAUGGCCCCAGAGUAAAACUCCAAGGAAUUGACGGGGACCCCCCCAAGCGGGGGAAGAUGGGGAUUAAUUCCAAGCCACCCCAAAAACCUUACCUACCCUUGACAUGUCUGGAAAGUUUAAAAAAUUUGGCUGUGCUCUCAAGAGAACCGGAACACAGGUGCUGCAGGGCUGUCGUCAGCUCGUGUCGUGAGAUGUUGGGUUAAGUCCCGCAACGAGCGCAACCCUUGUCAUUAGUUGCUACAAAAGGGCACUCUAAUGAGACUGCCGGUGACAAACCGGAGGAAGGUGGGGAUGACGUCAAGUCCUCAUGGCCCUUAUGGGUAGGGCUUCACACGUCAUACAAUGGUCGGGACAGAGGGUCGCCAACCCGCGAGGGGGAGCCAAUCCCAAAAACCCGAUCGUAAUCCGGAUCGCAAUCUGCAACUCGACUGCGUGAAGUCGGAAUCGCUAGUAAUCGCGGAUCAGCAUGUCGCGGUGAAUACGUUCCCGGGUCUUGUACACACCGCCCGUCACACCAUGGGAGUGGGUUUUACCAGAAGUAGUUAGCCUAACCGCAAGGGGGGCGAUUACCACGGUAGGAUUCAUGACUGGGGUGAAGUCGAGAGGGAAACCAAAAAACCAAA
rnacentral:rRNA from 1 species